UGAGGAAUAUUGGACAAUGGGCGCAAGCCUGAUCCAGCCAUGCCGCGUGCAGGAUGACGGUCCUAUGGAUUGUAAACUGCUUUUGUACAGGAAGAAACACUCCGACGUGUCGGAGCUUGACGUACUGUAAGAAUAAGGAUCGGCUAACUCCGUGC
rnacentral:rRNA from 1 species